ensembl:lncRNA
CUGCUCAACCGGGUUAAGGUCUGGUGAGUGAUUGGCACGGCCAGUCUAAAACCUUCCACUUUUCCCCCCACUGAUGAAGUCCUAUUGAGUCGGCAGUGUGUUUUGGAUCACUAGUGUCUUGCUCAUAAUGAAGUUCCUCCCGAUUAAUUUGGAUGCAGUUCUCUGUAAAUUGGCAGACAAAAUGUUCCUGUGAGCAUUAUUAUUGUUUAAACAGUCAAUCUAACAGGACACACCUGGGUAACAAGAAACACCUGUCAGUCACAUGUUCCAAUAUUUUUGCUUACCUACAGAUUGGGUGGUCUGAUACAAAAUGUUCUAUACCGUUUAACACAUCUCUGUAUGAACACCAGGAAGUAAAAGCUGAAAAUCGGAACUCUCUUCUCGUAUUCGUCUUUUGAUUUCAAACCCAGAUCAGUCUUCAUUUUACAGCAAAAACAAAUGAAUUAGCCUCGUCGUGCCAAUAAUUCCAGAGGGCUCUGUAAUUCUGACUUUGGGGCACAUGACUUCUUAAUGCACUCUGAAAUGCCUAGAUUUAUAGAUUAUUGAUUGCUUGAAUUAAAGCUGACAAUCUGCACUUCACCUAAUCAGUGUUUUAUUUCCAAAGAGAUUAACUACAGCACCAAAGCACCAAAUAUCAACUUUCACACCGUUUUCUGUUCUACUUUGUUAUUACGAUUUGACAAAAUAUAUGCCCAUAUUGCCCAGUCCAUACGGAUUGUUAGCAUGAAUUUAGAAAUAUGCAGUGUCUCGAUAAACAUAAAGUUGACCUCUUGUGUUCGAGCUUGGAUUUAUUGCACACUGCAGUAAUACCAUGAGAGAAAUUCCACUGAUGGGGAUUUUUUUUCCCAGUAGGAUUGUGCUUUCAUCCUCUUUAGUUACCAAGUACUGGAGAGUUUAAUUACCUAAGAAUGUUAUUUUCUCACAUGUUUCAGCUCAGGAGCAAUGUUUCUGUUAGCUGACUGUGUAUCUAUGUUCUCAGUGUAAGGCUUCAUAUUGUUAACUGAGUUAUUAAGAAGCAUUCGUUUGAAAGCACCCAAAAGUCUUGUGCUAUCAUAUAUAGUUGUACUAUAUAUCUAUGUAAGUAAAUGUGUGUGUGUGUGUGUUAUGUUCAAGGUUUUCACAGCUGCAUCAUAGACUCGAACAUCUCGAUCCUCUUCCUCGUUUGGCCUCUCUGAAUUCUCCGAUAUGACACCGUUCCGUACUUUGCAUGCAUCAGGUGAUCGAACGGCUUGUCGUGGGAUUCGCAUGCAAUGUCUAGCCAGUGUUCCUGCUCCACUUCCUCCAGACUCACGCUGCCGGCUCCUGGGAGUCCCGUCACUCCGGCCUCAUCAGGCAAAAAGCUACUGCUCUCAUCUGUCAUGGAAACGCUGUCGUGCUCAGAGCUUGCUUGAAUUAGCCCAAUAUUGUGACAUGAAGACUGAGCUUCUGAAUUGUGAAUCUGAAGAGCAGAAUGAAGUUUUUCCGGCCAGAUCGGUUCUCCUGAACGUGGAGCCCAAAUGGAGUCGAGGAUUUGCUGUGGAACAUCCUCUUCUUUGCUGUAAAAUACGGAAUCGUCCCCUUCAGUCGUAAGCAGAGGCGGCUGAUGCACCGUGUCCUCCUGAGCUCCUCCACUGAUGACCACGUCUUUCUCUGGAGCGGUGUUGCUCGGAAUAUCAAGCGCACUCGUAAUAUCGGCCAUUUCAGACACGCUUUUGGUUUCCAUAUUUUUCCUUUCUCUCUCUUUAGCACAUCAGAAGUCUGGUCAAAAUGCUGUCCGUCAUGUCUGUUUCCCUCCGUCACACUUACAUCCUUCACACUUGCAUUCUAAUGACCAGUCUGUGACAGGCAGGGCUUUUGUACUCAUGUGUGAUGUAUUUCUUUAACCACUAGAGAACAGGGGAUUUGUAUCGACCCAAAUGAAUGGCCUUUUGUCUGCUGUUCCAUUACAAACAAACCGUUUGUCCUCGUGUUUUAAUCCUGCCCGAGGUAUUUUAAGGCCUGAUUAACAUUCUCAGUCAUGGAGGAUUUGUGCCUGAUUUUUUUUCUGUACCCCUGCUACGGCUAGCAAUUUUAUUACAUUUAAUUAUACACAGGACUGGAGCAUGAGGUAAAACAGUAACACACUGGGGCUGUAAGUAGCCAUAAUUAUACACAAUGGAACCGACCGCUUUUUUUAGGAUUAAUUAUUCAGGUUAAUUACAAACGAUGCACUGAUCUAGCACCAUGCGUUAAUAUCACGGCUGACACUGGGCUUAAACAUUGACUCGGCAUUGGACCGAAUCUCAUCCACUGAUCGUAUUUUAUUCUGUGAAUCAGUGGGGAAAAUACUCCUCAUCGGAGUAGGUACUCCUCGUCGGGACGUUAGUAUGUGUCGUCAUUUUAUUAAACCAUUAAGUCAUUUUGAAGCCCUGCUGUAAAUGAGUUUCUCUGAUGAUCCCAUUUGUAAAUCACACGACCCCAACCCGGGGUCAUGACCCCUAGAUUGGCGACCACUACUGUGGGCUUGCAUAAGUAUUCACCUCCUCAAACUUUUGCAGAUUGGAACUGAAUAUUACAACCUGGAACUGAAAUUGACUUAUUUCUGGUUAUGCCAAUGAAUCUUCACAAGAUAACACAUAAUAUUGGAUAUUAAAAUGUGUGUGUACAUUCCAUAUAAACUCCACAUGGAAGCAUGGUGGUGGUUGCACUAUAGUAACAGCUUCUCUGACUAAUGCAAUCCUUAAUUAGUCCCUGACUUUUGGUAGAUGAUGACUGUGACAUAUUUUUUUUUUUUUUUUUUUUUUCCAUUUUUAAAUAAUCAAACUGAUUGAUAUUUUUCCAGAACUUUAUCCCAGAUUUUUUUUUUUUUUUUUUUUAAAUUAUUCCGAAUGAUAGCUGCUUGGUGUUUAUGAUGCUGUUUGUUUAGGUGUGCAUUCUAAGAAAAUCUUGGGCCUUCCAGGAACAGGUGUAUUUAUGGUCUCUUUGAUUUUGUGGCUACACCUGCAUCAAAGAGUGAAACAUAGAAUAUGCUGUUCCAUUGGCCCACUGUAUGUGGGCUGCUGCAAAUGCAUGUGAUGUCGACUGGCACGACAGAUCUUUGACACUCAAAGCUCUGAUAAUGUUAAUGUUAUCAAACAUGGAAAUACAGGAUUGGGCCUUCUCUAUUAUUUAUUCUGCUUGUAAUGUGAAAAACUAGUAAAUAUUUCAGAUUGUAUUUUUAUGUCAUUGCAAUUUAAAUGAAUUACAAUUAAUUCAGGCACUAAGAGAAUGGAAACUUAUCCCAAUUAACCCUAAGCCCGUGCUACAGAAUUAGCUGAAAACAAUGAUGUUUUGGUUCGUUUGUGUGUUGUAGAUUUUGCGCCAACGUGUAUGCAAAGAAUUUGGUAUUUGCUUAAUGAAGAAAGAAACGUACAAUAAAACAUUUUGCGUCAUAUUAUAUUUCAGUUUUCUUCUUUUUGAGAUAUUAAGCCUUUGUGAGUAAAAAAAUAUAUAUAUAUAGCGCAUUUGUUUGUUUUUUUUUGUUUUGUUUUGUUGUUUUUUUUGGCAGAACUCGGUGGACGAGGAGCAUUUACAUCUUUGACCCGUUAAACCAUAUCUGUGUUUCACUAUCUGAAGCAUGAAAUAGUUUGGUAUGUUAUGACGGGUAAUAUACACAUAGACUGUGAGGAGAUAGAAGUAUGUAGUUCCUGCUGCUUUCAGAUCGUCCUGCAACUCCUCUCAUGUUACUGCUGGCUUCUUCAUUAGUCUGAAAGCGUGUGGUGAAAUCUUACGUGGCUCCAUUUGUCCUGCGACAAAUAGUUGUGGUUCCAUGAACUUUCCACCUGCAUAUUACCAAACCAGUUGUACUGUUGACAGGGACGUUUAAGGUCUUUGUUAUGGCUCUGUAGUAUUUUCCACUCGGGUGUUGCUUAAUAAUGUUGUCCCUGAAAACUUUAGGAAGCUCUUUCACCUUCACUACUUGUUGCAUGAAAUCUUUCCGACCAAUGGCAAUGUUCUUUUGUUUUCUUUUCAUAAUGACACCUAUAAUUUGCAUGAGAACAUAUAUGAGCGCAUUAUUUGCAUUUAGAACUUGGUUUACAUCAGACACUUUUUAAAGUGUUUUUUUUUUAUUAUUCAAUUAUGGUUAUGAAUGCAUACUUUUUUCUUUUUUUCUUCAGAUUUAUUAGUACAACGUCAAAAGAAAUGAUGAGUGUAUAUUUAAAGGUGAUAUAUGCAUUGGGAGUAUAUUUACCCUCACUCUAGCUGCUAUUACUACAGCCUAAGAUCCAAAGCCUGUCCUGUUGCAUUGGGCUUUAGAGCCACUCAGUCGCAGAAAAAUCUGCACAUCGGCUUAGGUAGAGAUGAGUCGACUGAAACUGCCGAUGGACUGUCAGACAACCUCAUGGUGAAUGAUAGUCCCUCGUUACAGCCAUUGUGGCUUUUAUUACCUAUUGAUGGUAAUAUUGUAUGUGCUGUCUGAAACACGGCCCUUUCUCAAAUAUUCACUGCUCUUUUGCAUGAGGGUGCUGACACAGAAGCUGCAGGCUUCAACCAGAGAAAACCACAGCGAUCAUGCUAUUGCUGCACGUGUGUGUGGGUGUGUGUGUGUGGGGGGGGGGUUAUCCGGGACAGCUCACUGUGGGAAAGACGGGUUGAGAAGCGCCGUCUUAAUUUUGCAUACGGUGUUACUUGAAAUGCGACUUUUAGAAUAAAACGUGCAAGAGAUCAACGGAACUUGAGACAUUAAUGCGAUCCUAGCUGACAAAAAUAACUUCGUAUUUUACCACGGAAUCAUUGUAAGAUGAUUUGCAACAAAAUAUUGCUUAAAAGUAUAAAUGUAUCAAUUUUUAGGCUCAAAAACUUUUAUAUAAGUUAUACAUGUUAUAUAUAUAUAUAAGGUAUGUAUAAUGUAUAUCUAACAACUAGCUUCUGAAAAUCAACCAGUAUAUCUUGCUCUUUAAAUAAUAACUCAUUUUUUCUCACUGAUUAUUGAUCAAAUUUUACUUAAAGUCUCAAGUUGCAUUUCACACUGCCAUCUAGUGUUUAUACUAUUGCUG